rnacentral:rRNA from 1 species
AUACGUAGGUGGCAAGCGUCGUCCGGAUUUACUGGGUGUAAAGGGCGUGUAGGCGGAGAUGCAAGUCAGGAGUGAAAUCUAGGGGCUCAACCCCUAAACUGCUUUUGAAACUGUAUCCCUUGAGUAUCGGAGAGGCAGGCGGAAUUCCUAGUGUAGCGGUGAAAUGCGUAGAUAUUAGGAGGAACACCAGUGGCGAAGGCGGCCUGCUGGACGACAACUGACGCUGAGGCGCGAAAGCGUGGGGAGCAAACAGGAUUAGAUACCCUGGUAGUCCACGCUGUAAACGAUGAAUACUAGGUGUGGGGGGACUGACCCCCUCCGUGCCGCAGUUAACACAAUAAGUAAUCCACCUGGGGAGUACGGCCGCAAGGUUGAAACUCAAAUGAAUUGACGGGG